UCUUGGAUCCUGCAGUUGAGGGACAGCACAGAACAGCAUCGUGACCUUCCUCUCUCAGCACAGAGCUUCACUCCCUGUCCCCUGUGGCCCAGACUUCCUGUGCAAGGUCUCCGAAAUAUCCUGAGGUACUGGCACUUUCCCAGAGUGGACCCUUCACUCACCUGAAGUGACUGAUGGGAACCUUGCAAGCAAGAUACCAGUGCCCAUCUGGUACUGUUUUCUGUUGCCCUGAAGAAGUCCCAUUGACAUUUCUCAUAGUGAAAGUCUAUUCGCAGACAUUCUCAGUGUUGAUAUUCCAUAAAUGGAUUUAGUUUUCUUCCUUCAUUUAAGGAAAUUUUUCUAGGUGUGGAAUUCAAGGUUGGCACUGGCAGACUUUAAAGAUGCCAUUCAACGUUAUUGGUUUGCAUUUUCUUCUAAUAAAGAGUUGUCAUCCCACUUACCAUUUUCCCCAUGUGUAUCAUGUUUUUUCUGACCAUUUUCAGAUUUUGUCUUUUGCAGUUA